rnacentral:lncRNA from 1 species
GUUUGGGGUUUAAAACCCUAAUGCUGGCUAAAGGAAAAAUUCAGUUUAGGGUUUAAAACCCUAAUGCUGAUCGCAUGGAAAAGCUCAGUUUAGGGUUUAAAACCAUAAUGCUGGCUGAAUGGAAAAAAGUUCAGUUUAGAGUUUAAAACCCUAAUGCUGUCUGAAUGGAAAAAAAGUUCAGUUUAGGGUUUAAAACCCUAAUGCUGACUAAAAGGAAAAUUCAGUUUAGGGUUUAAAACCCUAAUGCUGAUUACAGGGAAAAGCUCAGUUUAGGGUUUAAAACCCUAAUGCUGGCUGAAUGGAAAAAAGUUCAGUUUAGGGUUUAAAACCCUAAUGCUGAUUACAUGGAAAAGCUCAGUUUAGGGUUUAAAACCCUAAUGCUGGCUGAAUGGAAAUAAGUUCAGUUUAGGGUUUAAAACCUUAAUGCUAACUGGAAGGAAAAACUCAGUUUGGGGUUUAAAACCCUAAUGCUGGCUAAAGGAAAAAUUCAGUUUAGGGUUUAAAACCCUAAUGCUGAUCGCAUGGAAAAGCUCAGUUUAGGGUUUAAAACCCUAAUGCUGGCUGAAUGGAAAAAAGUUCAGUUUAGGGUUUAAAACCCUAAUGCUGGCUAAAGGAAAAAUU